rnacentral:tRNA from 1 species
AAGAGGAUAUUUAAAUUAUAAUAUUAACUUGUCAGGUUAAAGUUAGGGUCUAGUCUCUUUCUCUUG